rnacentral:rRNA from 1 species
CACGUAGGCGGAUCUUUAAGUCAGAGGUGAAAUCCCAGGGCUCAACCCUGGAACUGCCUUUGAUACUGGGGAUCUCGAGUCCGGGAGAGGUGAGUGGAACUGCGAGUGUAGAGGUGAAAUUCGUAGAUAUUCGCAAGAACACCAGUGGCGAAGGCGGCUCACUGGCCCGGAACUGACGCUGAGGUGCGAAAGCGUGGGGAGCAAACA